rnacentral:rRNA from 1 species
GACGAACGCUGGCGGCGUGCUUAACACAUGCAAGUCGAACGGAAAGGCCCUGCUUUUGUGGGGUGCUCGAGUGGCGAACGGGUGAGUAACACGUGAGUAACCUGCCCUUGACUUUGGGAUAACUUCAGGAAACUGGGGCUAAUACCGGAUAGGAUCUCCUGCUGCGUGGUGGGGGUUGGAAAGUUUCGGCGGUUGGGGAUGGACUCGCGGCUUAUCAGCUUGUUGGUGGGGUAGUGGCUUACCCAGGCUUUGACGGGUACCCGGCCUGAGAGGGUGACCGGCCACAUUGGGACUGAGAGACGGCCCAGACGCCUACGGGAGGCAGCAGGGGGGAAUAUUGCACAAUGGGCGGAAGCGUGAUGCAGCAACGCCGCGUGCGGGAUGACGGCCUUCGGGUUGUAAAACGCUUUCGCCUGUGACGAAGCGUGAGUGACGGUAAUGGGUAAAGAAGCACCGGCUAACUACGUG